rnacentral:rRNA from 1 species
AGUGAACGCUGGCGGUAGGCCUAACACAUGCAAGUCGAACGGCAGCACAGUAAGAGCUUGCUCUUACGGGUGGCGAGUGGCGGACGGGUGAGGAAUACAUCGGAAUCUACUUUUUCGUGGGGGAUAACGUAGGGAAACUUACGCUAAUACCGCAUACGACCUACGGGUGAAAGCAGGGGAUCUUCGGACCUUGCGCGAUUGAAUGAGCCGAUGUCGGAUUAGCUAGUUGGCGGGGUAAAGGCCCACCAAGGCGACGAUCCGUAGCUGGUCUGAGAGGAUGAUCAGCCACACUGGAACUGAGACACGGUCCAGACUCCUACGGGAGGCAGCAGUGGGGAAUAUUGGACAAUGGGCGCAGGCCUGAUCCAGCCAUACCGCGUGGGUGAAGAAGGCCUUCGUGUUGUAAAGCCCUUUUGUUGGGAAAGAAAAGCAGCAGGUUAAUACCCCGCUGUUCUGACGGUACCCAAAGAAUAAGCACCGGCUAACUUCGUG